GAACACACAUGGCGCCUUCCAGUAUCCUGGGAGGCAUGCCUGUCCGAGCGUCGUUUCAACCCUCGAGCCCCUGUGGCCCGGCGUUGGGGAUCUGCCACGGCAGGCCCCUAAAACCAGUGGCGGACCCGAAGGGCCCUCUCCUUUGCGCAGUAGCAUUCGCCUCGCAUCGGGAGUCCUCGGCGUCCUGCCUCUAAACCCCCCACAAGCCCGCCUCGGCGGCACCAAGGUUGACCUCGGAUCAGGUAGGAAUACCCGCUGAACUUAAG
rnacentral:misc_RNA from 1 species